GAUGAACGCUGGCGGCGUGCCUAAUACAUGCAAGUCGAGCGAAUGGAUUAAGAGCUUGCUCUUAUGAAGUUAGCGGCGGACGGGUGAGUAACACGUGGGUAACCUGCCCAUAAGACUGGGAUAACUCCGGGAAACCGGGGCUAAUACCGGAUAACAUUUUGAACCGCAUGGUUCGAAAUUGAAAGGCGGCUUCGGCUGUCACUUAUGGAUGGACCCGCGUCGCAUUAGCUAGUUGGUGAGGGAACGGCUCACCAAGGCAACGAUGCGUAGCCGCCCUUGGAGGGUGAUCGGCCACACUGGGACUGAGACACGGCCCAGAGUCCUACGGGAGGCAGCAGUAGGGAAGCUUCCGCAAUGGACGAAAGUCUGACGGAGCAACGCCGCGUGAGUGAUGAAGGCUUUCGGGUCGUAAAACUCUGUUGUUAGGGAAGAACAAGUGCUAGUUGAAUAAGCUGGCACCUUGACGGUACCUAACCAGAAAGCCACGGCUAACUACGUGCCAGCCGCCGCGGUAA
rnacentral:rRNA from 1 species